AAAGCACGCCAGGUCUCCUGCACUGGACAUUUUUGCGCGGGAAAUGAAAGGCGGUCGGUGGUCCGUUGGCUUGGCGUUGAAUACAUGAAAAAUUUUUCAGAUGGGGUUCUUUCCGUUUCCUGCUGGGAAAACCGUUAGAUGCCAUCGUGGAUUGAUGAAUACCGUUGUACUUGAAUAAACAGGAACUCUUAACAGAAGCUUCUUUGUCAGCAGCAUCAGUUUGGGUGCCCGGUGAAGUAGCUUCAAAGAUUGCCCGUUUUUUUAAAAGUUGGCUCUCUUUUGAAGUGCUUUUCCAGGUGAAGCCCAAUUUUUAAUAUCGCCGUUUGCCUGUUGCAGACAUACCAGCUCCCUAGCUUUUGAUCUCUGCCCUUCUGCGAUGAAAGAAAUUUCUCCUGAUUUUAAUGCAAUAAAAAAGUCUUGUUUGCUGUCACCUAUAGGUAAGCAUAUAAAUG